rnacentral:rRNA from 1 species
AGAGUUUGAUCCUGGCUCAGGACGAACGCUGGCGGCGUGCCUAAUACAUGCAAGUCGAACGAACUCUGGUAUUGAUUGGUGCUUGCAUCAUGAUUUACAUUUGAGUGAGUGGCGAACUGGUGAGUAACACGUGGGAAACCUGCCCAGAAGCGGGGGAUAACACCUGGAAACAGAUGCUAAUACCGCACAACAACUUGGACCGCAUGGUCCGAGUUUGAAAGAUGGCUUCGGCUAUCACUUUUGGAUGGUCCCGCGGCGUAUUAGCUAGAUGGUGGGGUAACGGCUCACCAUGGCAAUGAUACGUAGCCGACCUGAGAGGGUAAUCGGCCACAUUGGGACUGAGACACGGCCCAAACUCCUACGGGAGGCAGCAGUAGGGAAUCUUCCACAAUGGACGAAAGUCUGAUGGAGCAACGCCGCGUGAGUGAAGAAGGGUUUCGGCUCGUAAAACUCUGUUGUUAAAGAAGAACAUAUCUGAGAGUAACUGUUCAGGUAUUGACGGUAUUUAACCAGAAAGCCACGGCUAACUACGUGCCAGCAGCCGCGGUAAUACGUAGGUGGCAAGCGUUGUCCGGAUUUAUUGGGCGUAAAGCGAGCGCAGGCGGUUUUUUAAGUCUGAUGUGAAAGCCUUCGGCUCAACCGAAGAAGUGCAUCGGAAACUGGGAAACUUGAGUGCAGAAGAGGACAGUGGAACUCCAUGUGUAGCGGUGAAAUGCGUAGAUAUAUGGAAGAACACCAGUGGCGAAGGCGGCUGUCUGGUCUGUAACUGACGCUGAGGCUCGAAAGUAUGGGUAGCAAACAGGAUUAGAUACCCUGGUAGUCCAUACCGUAAACGAUGAAUGCUAAGUGUUGGAGGGUUUCCGCCCUUCAGUGCUGCAGCUAACGCAUUAAGCAUUCCGCCUGGGGAGUACGGCCGCAAGGCUGAAACUCAAAGGAAUUGACGGGGGCCCGCACAAGCGGUGGAGCAUGUGGUUUAAUUCGAAGCUACGCGAAGAACCUUACCAGGUCUUGACAUACUAUGCAAAUCUAAGAGAUUAGACGUUCCCUUCGGGGACAUGGAUACAGGUGGUGCAUGGUUGUCGUCAGCUCGUGUCGUGAGAUGUUGGGUUAAGUCCCGCAACGAGCGCAACCCUUAUUAUCAGUUGCCAGCAUUAAGUUGGGCACUCUGGUGAGACUGCCGGUGACAAACCGGAGGAAGGUGGGGAUGACGUCAAAUCAUCAUGCCCCUUAUGACCUGGGCUACACACGUGCUACAAUGGAUGGUACAACGAGUUGCGAACUCGCGAGAGUAAGCUAAUCUCUUAAAGCCAUUCUCAGUUCGGAUUGUAGGCUGCAACUCGCCUACAUGAAGUCGGAAUCGCUAGUAAUCGCGGAUCAGCAUGCCGCGGUGAAUACGUUCCCGGGCCUUGUACACACCGCCCGUCACACCAUGAGAGUUUGUAACACCCAAAGUCGGUGGGGUAACCUUUUAGGAACCAGCCGCCUAAGGUGGGACAGAUGAUUAGGGUGAA